GAUGAACGCUAGCGGCAGGCUUAAUACAUGCAAGUUGAGGGGCAGCAUGAUAUACGCGAGUAUAUUGAUGGCGACCGGCGGACGGGUGAGUAAUAGGUAGGAGACCUACCUCAUACAGGGGGAUAGCAUAGAGAAAUCUGUGGUAAUACCCCAUGAGGUUAUAUGAAUAGAGGCAUAUAAUCAAAGCAUAAGCGAUUAUGCGGUAUGAGAGGGGCCUACUGACCAUUAGCUAGUUGGUGAGGUAAGGGCUCACCAAGGCGAAGAUGGUUAGGGGUUUUGAGAGAGAGACCCCCCCACAUUGGAACUGAGAGACGGUCCAGACUCCUACGGGAGGCAGCAGUAGGGAAUAUUGGGCAAUGGGCGAAAGCCUGACCCAGCCAUGCCGCGUGAAGGAAGACGGCCUUAUGGGUUGUAAACUUCUUUACUACGCGAAUAGAGGUUAGUACGAGAUACUAAUAGGAAGGUAGUGUAGUAAAAGCAACCGGCUAACUCCGUG
rnacentral:rRNA from 1 species